rnacentral:rRNA from 1 species
UGGGGAAUAUUGCACAAUGGGCGCAAGCCUGAUGCAGCCAUGCCGCGUGUAUGAAGAAGGCCUUCGGGUUGUAAAGUACUUUCAGCGGGGAGGAAGGGAGUAAAGUUAAUACCUUUGCUCAUUGACGUUACCCGCAGAAGAAGCACCGGCUAACUCCGUGCCAGCAGCCGCGGUAAUACGGAGGGUGCAAGCGUUAAUCGGAAUUACUGGGCGUAAAGCGCACGCAGGCGGUUGGUUGAGUCAGAUGUGAAAUCCCCGGGCUUAACCCGGGAAUUGCAUCUGAUACUGGUCAGCUAGAGUCUUGUAGAGGGGGGUAGAAUUCCAUGUGUAGCGGUGAAAUGCGUAGAGAUGUGGAGGAAUACCGGUGGCGAAGGCGGCCCCCUGGACAAAGACUGACGCUCAGGUGCGAAAGCGUGGGGAGCAAACAGG